rnacentral:rRNA from 1 species
UACGAGGGGGGCGAGCGUUGUUCGGAAUUAUUGGGCGUAAAGGGCGCGUAGGCGGCUCAUGAAGGCUGUGGUGAAAGUCCGGGGCUCAACCUCGGAUCGGCCGUGGCGACUCGUGGGCUGGAGCACUGUAGAGGCGGGUGGAAUUCCGGGUGUAGCGGUGGAAUGCGUAGAGAUCCGGAAGAACACCAGUGGCGAAGGGCGGC